CUCUAAAAGUAUAGCUUUAAUUUGUGGCUCAUGAAAGGCAAAACAUCAAAGCACCAACUUGAAAAAGAUCAAUCAGGACUUUCCACCGUUGUGUUUGAAAUGUAUUUCCAACAUUUUAGAGUUGGGUCUACAUUGUUUUUCCUGAGUGGAAAAGGGAAGAGAUAGAAUAGAUGGUGGCAGAUGAAAGGACGGAUGUGACAUAGGAGGAGCGUCCAUGACAGGCGCUAAACUUUGUGCAAGAAAUGUGAAUGAAGCCCAUUUUUCUCUCGUUCCAGAAUGCGUUAAAUGUAGGUUCUUGAAUACUCUGCACUGUAUUGUCACUACCCUUUACUAGCGUAUGUACUGGCCCUUGAGGCCUGUGAUUGGACACCCCCUGCUCUAGUUUUUUUUGGAGGGUAACUUGGACUGGUCCUCUUUGUUUUCCCUCGUCUAAGAGAUUGUUGCCAGUUGUCCUUGAGAAGGGUCACUGGGGCUACAACUCUUCUUGUAUCUAGUAAAGUUCCUUAGGAGACUAGCUUUGUGUUCUCUCUCCCCAGGGAUGGUAGCCUGACCCCCACCAGUGAUUCAUGGUCGCUGUCCUUGAGAUGGGUCACCAGGGUUGCUCCAACGUAUGUUCCCUGUCAACAAGGAUAGUUGCUGGUUCUGCUCCUCCUUACAGACCAAUGAGGCAGCUGAACUCCAGGACCUUUCGGUGUCAGCCCGUGUUGUCAUUUGUGACUGCUACAGCCCAGACAAUGAUGCACUCACACUGUAGGGGGAAAAUGAUGAACAGCCAACCUCAAGGUCCGCCCGACUCAAAGCUGUUUUUCUGCCGCUCCAUCAAACCGUCUUCUGUCUCCGUCUUUGACGGGGAAAAAUGAAAUUCUUGAAAAGCAGAAACUAGAAGAAAAAAAUGUACUUUUUUCAUAGCUUUUGACCUUGAUAAAAUGUAAGAAACAAGUGUGAUAUUUUUAAAAACCCUAAUAAAAAAAAAGACAAAA